ACAACGAGGUGGAACGCUUAACUAUUAGAGAUUCUUUUUUUCUUUUAUUUAAAAAGAAAAAAAAUACCUUAACUCCUUUACCCCCUUCUCGCACUCUCCCUUGGGAUUUGGAGUCCCCCUAGGUGACUAUGCUGAAAGAUGCUAGACCCUUUACCCUGCAGUGAAAAAUGUCUCUACAUGAAACAGAAAACCAAGAAGAAGCCAAUGAUUGACCCGAAAAUAGGCGGGCUGCAUGUUGGGGAGUUGGGUGGAAGACUCAGGAGGCAGAAACGUGGUUCAUAUGUAUCAGUUCUCUAGACUCCAUAUAUGAGAGAAACCAUCAGGUUGUUUGUCGUUCACCUUUCUGCUUAUUUUGCUAAGCACAAUCACCUUUAGUUCCAUCAUAUUGUCUCAAAAGACACAAUAUCAUCCUUUCUGACUGGUACAUGGAAUCUAAGAGGCUGUAUCUUUGACUCCUUUCUUCUCUUGUCUUUGGCAAUGUCAUUCAGUCCAAGUGCUUCAACAACCACUUCCAUGCUUAAAAUGCCUAAAUCUUCACCUUCAACAGUGGAUCUCUCUUCUGAGAUAGGGUCUUCAGUUGUUUGUCUAUACCUGUUUGUCUAACAAGUAUAUUAAACCGCAUGUAGUCAAAACUUCAAUACUUACCUUGCUCUUUGUGACUGUUCUUCCUUCUGUGUUUCCUAAUUUGGUUAAUUUCUGAUACCAGAAGCAUAUAACUAGAUAAGAUCUAGAUAAGAUCAGGAC